rnacentral:rRNA from 1 species
GACGAACGCUGGCGGCGUGCUUAACACAUGCAAGUCGAACGAAGUGGCGCACGGGUGAGUAACGCGUAAUCAACCUGCCCUUCAGAGGGGCACCACAGUUGGAAACGACUGCUAAUACCGCAUACUGAAGGAGGGGAUUGCGUCUGCUUAGCUUGUUGUAUGGGUAACGGCCCACCAAGGCGAUGAUCAGUAGCCGGUUUGAGAGGAUGAACGGCCACAUUGGGGCUGGGACACGGCCCAGUCUCCUACGGGAGGCAGCAGGUGGGAAUCUUCCCAAAUGGACGAAAGUCUGACGGAGGAACGCCGCGUGAGUGAUGACGGCCUUCGGGUUGUAAAGCUCUGUUAAUCGGGACGCGGUACCGGAAUAGAAAGCCACGGCUAACUACGUGCCAGCAGCCGCGGUAAUAC